UCUCUAUCCAUCAGAACGAGAUUGAACUAGCUGCUCAUGGUCACAGAUGCUGGGGGAAUGCAAAUAGAGAUUUACCCUUUUUAUGUUUGUUCUUUUCACACCUGAUAAAAUUACAAUAAAUACAAAACAUGUUUUACUGUAAUGCUUUGGUAAUAACGAUGAUGUGUCAUGGAUAUAUGAUAUAGUAAAUAUUGUGACUACUUGCAGUGAGCUUAACUAUUUGUACUCACUUUUAUUUGCUUUAAAAUGCUCUACACUGAACAAAAACAGAAAAAAUGAAAACUGAUAGUUCAACAAAAACAUUUUUAAAGUAUAUAAAUAGUGCAGAACUCACAUCUUGGAUAAGCAACAGUUUUAAAAAUUAAAAUUCACUUAUUUUUGUAGAGUUGUUACCAUAAAUUCACAGCUCUGGUCAGAAAACCUCUCUGCCUAGAAUCAGUUUAAAAGACAUCCAAGAGUCAGCCAGGCCUCACAGAGACAGUGUUCUCAAAUAGUCAAUACACAAGCAGAAUCAAUCACUGGUGGACAAAACAAUUACUGAGCAUGUGAUCCCACCAAUUAAAUGCCUGCCCUACAUGUUUUCAUCUCUACAUCCAUUUCUCUUAUGUUUUGUGUUAUUAUAUUGUCUAUUUCUGAAAUCAGGAACAGAUAUUUAACGCUGUAAAGGAAGGAUGUCGUUUAAGACUUUCAACGUCUAUGCCUAUAGAUGCACGAGCCAUUCCAGGGUAAAAGGACUUUUGACUGGCUGGCAAGGGCUCACUCUGGGUUUGGCUUUUGAAUUGAACCUUAAAACUAUUCUGAAUUUUACCCAUUUUAAGGAACAUAGUCCAAUAUAAUAAUCCACGAGAAAAAGUAAUUUCUAAAAAAAUAAUUAUAUAUAAUAAUGAAAGAAUGGAAAAUUCAGCUGGGUGCGGUGGCUCACGCCUGUAAUCCCAGCACUUUGGGAGGCCGAGGCAGGGGGAUCAUGAGGUCAGGAGAUUGAGACCAUCCUGGCUAACACAGUGAAACCCCGUCUCUACUAGAAAAAAAAAAUACGAAAAAUUAGCCGGGCGCGAUGGCGGGCGCCUGUAGUUCCAGCUACUUGGGAGGCUGAGGCAGGAGAAUGGCGUGAACCCGGGAGGCGGAGCUUGCAGUGCGCUGAGAUCGCACCACUGCAGUCCAGCCGGGGCAACAGAGCGAGACUGCGUCUCAAAAAAAAAAAAAAAGGAAAAUUCAGAAACAAUUUCAUACAGGGUAAUGAUGAAACAAAAAUAUCCAGCCAGGCGCAGUGGCUCACACCUGUAAUCCCAGCACUUUGGGAGGCCGAGGCGAGCUGAUCACUUGAGGUCAGGAGUUCAAGAGCAGCCUGGCCAAAAUGGUGAAACUCCGUCUCUACUAAAAAUACAAAAAAAAUUAGCCAGGCGUGGUGGCAGGUGCCUGUAGAACCAGCUACCUGGGAGGCUGAGGCAGGAGAAUUGCUUGAACUUGGGAGGCUGAGGUUGUAGUGAGCCAAAGUCACGCCACUGCACUCCAGCAUGGGCGACAGAGUGAGACUCCGUCUCAAAAAACAAAAAAAACAUUCUCUAAGCUACACUGAAAAACAGAUUUGUGGACUAAGUCAAUUUCUGGACAUUUUUGAAUAAACGAAUAUUAAAACAAAAAGGAGACCAUGAAGCAAUUUAUACAGAUUAUGCCAACUAUAUACACACACACACACA
rnacentral:lncRNA from 1 species